rnacentral:tRNA from 1 species
GGUGAUUCAGCGGUAGAGUGCUUGCCUUGCAUGCAAGAGGCCCUGGGUUCAAUUCCUCAGCACCA